rnacentral:rRNA from 1 species
UACGUAGGUGGCAAGCGUUGUCCGGAUUUAUUGGGUUUAAAGGGUGCGUAGGCGGUCUAGUUAAGUCAGUUGUGAAAUACGGCAGCUCAACUGUCGAGGUGCAAUUGAUACUGAUGGACUUGAGUACUGAUGAGGUAAGCGGAAUGGACGGUGUAGCGGUGAAAUGCUUAGAUAUCGUCCAGAACACCGAUAGCGAAGGCAGCUUACUAAGGAGUAACUGACGCUGAGGCACGAAAGUGUGGGGAUCAAACAGG